rnacentral:piRNA from 1 species
UAAUGCCCUGGAUUUCACUGGAAUCUGUCU